rnacentral:lncRNA from 1 species
AUGACAACACCAGCUGGCACAUGCGACGAAGAGGGAGAGAUCGUUUAGAGCCAUUCUUUCCGUCGAAACUUCUACGUGAAUCAAAUGCUACAUAUUCUAUGGAGAUAGACGUUGUUGAUUAUGAUGUCAUACGUAGUUCUUUAAGAACAUAAAUAUCGAUUUCUUCCAAAAAAAAAAAACGCCCAGAAAUCAUCGAGUACGAGGUCUAAUGAGUACAUCAUUGCAGCCCUGAGGUAAAACGACUGGGCAGAAAUUUCCACUAUACACCUCUAUGAUCAUCCUCUUUAGCAGAUAUGGUGGAGAGGAAAGUAGAGGUGGUUGCAAGGUGGAAGUCUUGGAAGAGGAAGCAACUCCAUUGAUUACAAUUCUACAAAAUCCAAAUGCAAUAUAAUCUUCAGAUGAUUAGUGAACGAUAUCUAG